rnacentral:rRNA from 1 species
GAAAGAACAGAGAAAGAAUGG